CAUUCUUUUUUUUCUCUUCAAAUCUGCUUCGGUUUUAAGUUGUUUCGUGUUUUUAGUAUUUGGUCGUACCUUCUUAUCAUGUGAUUUUUUUUUGUUCAAGUAUUGUUGAACCCAUACAUCCGCUUCGUUUUCUGGUGUAACAUCGUUGGGGGCUAUGAAGUUUAAGGACCUGUGUGGUGUUGCAUUGUAGCUCUUUACAAACUUUUAAUGAAGUUAUUGAUUUAACGUCUUCCAAUGAAGAGGAAGCGAUGGAUUUUGAACAGAGUGCUGCUUGUAAAAGCAAUGGUGCAUGUGGAAGCACCACUCCUAGUAAAAGUGAACAAGAAGAUACAUUAGAAAGAGAUAUAAAACAAGCUAGUGAGAUAUAUCUCAAUGAACCAAUGGAAGUGGACCUGAUUGAUACUGUAUUAGAUGACCAAAAAAGACUAUUUUAAUGUGCAACAGGACAAAAAAGACAGAAACUAGAAUAUUUUAAAUAAAUGAUUAAUACAUGAAA